rnacentral:rRNA from 1 species
CCUACGGGGGGCAGCAGUGAGGAAUAUUGGUCAAUGGCCGAGAGGCUGAACCAGCCAAGUCGCGUGAGGGAAGACGGCCCUACGGGCUGUAAACCUCUUUUGUCGGGGAGCAAAGCGAACCACGUGUGGUUCAUUGAGAGUACCCGACCAAGAAGCCCCGGCUAACUACGUGCCAGCAGCCGCGGUAAUACGUAGGGGGCGAGCGUUAUCCGGAAUUACUGGGUGUAAAGGGAGCGUAGACGGCGAGGUAAGCCUGAAGUGGAAGCCCGCGGCCCAACCGCGGAACUGCGUUGGGAACUGUUUUGCUGGAGUGUAGGAGGGGUAAGCGGAAUUCCUGGUGUAGCGGUGAAAUGCGUAGAUAUCAGGAGGAACACCAGUGGCGAAGGCGGCUUACUGGACCAUAACUGACGUUGAGGCUCGAAAGCGUGGGGAGCGAACAGGAUUAGAUACCCCUGUAGUC